GUGUGCACCACCACGCCUGGCUGCCUCCUGGGUUCAAAUGAUUCUCCUGCCUCAGCCUCCCCAUCAGCUGGGAUUACAGGUGUGCGCCACCACGCCUGGCUGCCUCCUGGGUUCAAGUGAUUCUCCUGCCUCAGCCUCCCCGUCAGCUGGGAUUACAGGUGUGCGCCACCACGCCUGGCUGCCUCCUGGGUUCAAGUGAUUCUCCUGCCUCAGCCUCCCCGUCAGCUGGGAUUACAGGUGUGCGCCACCACGCCUGGCUGCCUCCUGGGUUCAAGUGAUUCUCCUGCCUCAGCCUCCCCGUCAGCUGGGAUUACAGGUGUGCGCCACCACGCCUGGCUGCCUCCUGGGUUCAAGUGAUUCUCCUGCCUCAGCCUCCCCGUCAGCUGGGAUUACAGGCUGUUGGCCGGAGGUCAUCUCAGCUCCUAGCUGGGUAUUAGCUGGAGGCUGUCCUCAGUCCAGUGCCGUGGGCCUCCCCAGCUUGGCUGCGUGUGGCAGCAAAUCCAGCCAGGCGGUCCUCAGCAAGAGAGACAUCACAAUCUCACAGGUGAUCCACUCGGCUCUCUUCUCUUCUGCGUCCUGCUCUAUGGCCUGGGAAGCUGAUCUCCAAGGAUCGCAUUCCUAGGGCUCUCUGGCCCAUGGGCUUCCCGUUGGGUUUGCCCAAUGGACAGCCAUGGCAGAAGAUCAAAGGGAAGAUGGCAGGAAGCUGUCCCCCACUCCUCGCCUGGCUGAGUUCUGGCGAUGGCUGCCAUCCAGGGUCCUGAGUCCCACCAGUUUUUACCCCUUGAAGUGAGAAAGAACACGUCUACAACCCUCCCUCAUUCCAGAGGCUGUGUUUUUGCCCUUUGGUCAUGCAGAUGGGGCUAAAGCGAAGUUACAACAUUGGAAAAUGUCUUCUUAACGUCACACUGAUCUCCUUAAGGCAACGAGCCCCACAUGCUCUCUGAGGCCUGUGCACGUGUUCUGAGGACCCAGUUAUGUGCUGCGUGAUUCCAGAGGUGAACAGACCCUCACAGAUCACCUCUCCUCACCCUCUCAUGAGAGGGAAACUGAGGCUCAGGGGGAGAAUUGGCAAAGGUUACACUUGGUGGUGGGUUUGGAAUCUGCCCUGUGGACGCCCGACUAACCAUUUCUGCCAGAUGCGCGUGGGAAGUAAAAUGGGAAGAGGUGCUCCAUAGGAGGAGGGGACGUGGGUACAGUCACGUGGACCCGUGAGCCGGUCACCUGCGAGGCACCAGGGCCUACAGGAAAGGUGCCCGCUGUCGGCUUCCGCAGGGAAUUUCGUUAUCUUUGUGAGGUAGGGUGGAACUUGCAUCCUGAACAUUAAAGUUUACAUGCCAAGGAGGGCGGUGGAGUCCUUGGAACUUCCUGCCUCCCCCUGAGGCUGCCUCCCCAUGCGAUUGACCUGGUCUGGCUGGGCCUGAUGCUGGGCUCAAAGAGAACACAGGUCUCACCCUCCUAUGUGGCGUGUGGUGAAGACUAAGGAGGUCCCCAGGACCCUGAGGGUUGCCCUUGGGUGCAUUGGAGUAGAGGCCAGGGAAGUCCAUGUCCUUUCCGAGCCAGGCCUUGCCGCCGAGGUACAGCCACAGUGUCCCCCUUCCAGCUGCAGAGCCGCUGCUUCCUCAUCUGUCAGGUGGGAACAACGACCCCCACUCUGUGCACCUCACUGGCAGUAGCGAGCACGAAGUGUGAGGGUGGACUCUGCAAGGUGGAAGCCAUGUCCCUGCAGGUUGCAUCUGUGCUGCCUGCCCUGCUGAGGGACGGGAACAGCAGCAUAGCCUUCGGUACCACGUACCUUGUUUGUCAAAACUGGACCUGCCACAGCGCGGUGGCCCUUCUCCUGGGGAAACACACUGUGCCCCAGGAGGUGUGUGGACAAACACCUUCACAGCACUGAUGCUGAGACAGCCAGAGCCCAGAAACGCCCAGCCGCCCCCGGUAGGAAAAUGAAUAAGUAAAUUGGGGCAAUUGGAGAUUGUGAUGUCUCUCUUGCUGAAGACCACCUGGCUGGAUUUGCUGGGGUGGGACCCAGACCGGGACGUUUUCAUACACACAAAACGGGCUGUGCCAGGUGGCCUUCUCCAGGGCACGGUGGGUGGGGGAGUCUCAGGCUGCCACGUGCCUGGCAGGCUUGGGACGAGGUGAAGGGAGGUGAGUGUUCGUGGGGAUGCUGGGACCCCAUUCGGGCCAGGUCAAUCACAUGGGGAGAUACAGUAUCAACAGUAAAGGAUCUUUAGAUAUGUAAACACACAGAUAAGUGGCCGGUGUAAUGUGCAGAAAAUGCUAAACAACAGAAUGCAAUAAUACAAAGUUCCAAAGCAGGCAACCCUAAACUCCAUGUUC
rnacentral:lncRNA from 10 species